rnacentral:lncRNA from 13 species
UUUCGUACAAAAAUUUCCAAUUUUCCAGGAAUUUUAUUUCCAGAUAAGACUAGAAAAUUUUUUGUCUUCAAAUUUAUUAGAAACUUGUGUUGGUUACUUUUCAAGCGUUUACAUUUCAAAAUCGGCUUCUUUAGGCUACUUGAGCGCCAUCGUUCGGCGACUUUUCAUAAUAAAUAUCUGGCAACACUGUACAUGAUACGGACCAUUUAAAGUUUAGUCAAUAUGUUACAUUUAGGAAAGAUAGACUAGUAAAUUCCCAGAGGAAAGGAAAUUAUAUGCAAGGGUUAUCUUAACCUUAAUGUAUAUAAUAUUUCAGACAUAACAAACCAUAUGGAUAUAGAAACUGUAUUUCCACCAAAAAUUGUAAAGUAAAGAAAGAUAGGAUAACUUUAAUAUCGUUAUAUAAACCACUGAAUAUACUGGCAAACAAGCAAAUGUGAGACCUGCGUGUACUAAACGACGGCUUGGCUACAAGAGUGUCCAUUAAAAUAUUCAUAUUAGAUCAUAAACUAGCAUCCGAUAUCAAUAAGCAUCACAUUAGUGUUCCUGACAUCACUUUGACAAAUAUAAAUGAUAUCCUCACAUUAUGGAAUACUAGCAUCAAGUGAAUGAACAGUGAUCACUUUCCUAUUAAAAUCAAAUUAAUAAAUAAUGGAAAAAUUAAAGACUAUCAAUUUACAAAAGCAAAAAAUAGAAGGGGAAGCAUAAACCUAAAGAACUUCAUCCUGUCUGCCUUCUGUAGUAUAUGGAAUGAAAAGUUAGAGGAACUAGAUACGAAUCUUUCUGACUUGAAUGGAACAGAGUUAUAUAAAUGAUGAUAUAGAAAUAUAAUGAAUUGUGUGGUUCUUGCCGGUGACGGAAUACGUGAUAGAACGGGUAAAAUAAAAAUAAGAGAUGAUAAGACUAAUAGUAUUAAAAUAAUUGACAAAAAAAAGUACUCAAACAAGGAUAGGUAGAAUGAUGAGGGAAGAAGCAUUAACAAGCCAUGGUGGGAUGAAUUGUAUGAAAAAGCAGUGCAAAAUAGAAAGAAAAGUUUUAAGAAUUUCCUAAAAGAUCCAACAAGAGAAAAAUUAACUAUCUAUAGAGGAAUUUCCACGGAAACAAGAAAAAUUAUUACCAGUAGAAAAAGGGAAAAUUUUCAUAACCUCAUUGACAAAAUUGCUAGAGUGCCUGGCUCCAGAAAAUUCUGGAAUACCAUAAAAAAAUUUUUAAAUUGUUCAACCUAUAAACCAAGAACUCCUUCAGAUACAAGAAAAAUUGUUAGAUGAUUAUUAUAUCGCUAAAUUAGCGAACUAUUGGGUUCUGCCAAUGACACGUCUAAUGGCAAGAGACUAUCAAGAAUUUUUGAGCAAAAUUUUACCAUUAAAGAAAUAUCAGAGUUUAUCAACCAAAGUAAAAUUAAUGGUAGCCCGGGUAACGAUUUGUUGAGCUAUGGACUUCUUCGUUACCUUCCCGUGUCUGCUUUGGAAUUGCUUAAUGAAAGUUAUAAUGAAAAGAUCAUAGACGGUUCAUUCCCUGAACAAUGGAAAAAAUACUUGAUAGUAUUGAUACCGAAGAAUGAAAGGAUAGACUUUAGAUCCGUCUCAUUGGAAUCAUGCACUCUAAAAAUUUUCAAGAAACUAGAAAAAAUCAGACUGGAAAGAUUCGUGAAAUUAGAUGCUAUAAUACUCAAGUGCCAAUUCGGUUUCCGUAAAAGCAAAUCGUGCAAUAACUACCUUGUUAAUGAAUCUUGAAAUAUAUAAAGCUUUUUCAGAGGGUAAAAUCACAGGAGGCCUAUUUCUAGACAUUAAGGUUAUUUAUGACAACAUUGAGGUUAAAAUGCUAUUUGAUAUGAUUAACGGGUUAAGAAUUUCAAUUGGUUAUAAGUUUAUGAAGAAUUUUUUGGAACCAAGAAAAGCUACAAUCUUUGAAAAUGACAAUUAUCAGGGCACUAGAAUAAUCCAAAAAGGUGUCCUAUAAGGGUCGGUUCUAAGCCCAUUGUUGUUCAAUAUUUAUGUAGCAAACAUACUUUCGCACAAUUGCAAAAUUAUCCAAUUUGUGUAUGACAUUGCUGUUCUAGGUAUGAACAGAGAUAUAGCAGUGGAAUAUAACAUCUUACAAAAAGCUUUAUCAAAAAAAAAUAAAUAAAUGGUUGAUAGUCUUAAACCUUGAAAUAUCAAUACUGAAAACAAAUUUGUUUUUUUCCACAGAAAAAAAAGAUUAACGUUUCCAACGGUUUGCAGGUGGAAAAAGGCAAUAUUAUAGUAUCAAAUAAGAUAAAAUAUCUGAGUGUUAUCUUUGACUCUGAAUUGAGAUGGAGAGAAUAUCUAACAUCAUUAAAAAACAAAACUUAUUAUUUUAUAAAUAUUCUUAAAUAGAUUAAGAAGUUGGGGAGGGGGGGGGUUAGUAUACAAGUUGGAAUAGAUUUCGUAAAUGGCACCGUCAGGGCACAAAUAUGCUGGGGAGCCAAUUAAUUCAACAGUUCUGCAAAGUCGUAUCUGGGACUGAUUGAUAAGAUUUUAGCAUCUGCUUACAAAAUAAUUUUGGGACUUCUGAAAUUUAUAUCUAAUAAAGUGAGUUGGCUGUUGUAGACCAUCCGCAAGAUUAGUAUCAUUAUCCUGUAUAAACUUAUGUUAAAAACCUUCCAACUAAAAAACAUAAAAUUAAUUAAUAAAAUCAGAAGUAUGCAUGAAUCAAGUUAUAAAAAGAAGACCGCUGCCCAGAAUAUAUCAUUUUUAAUUGAGCGAUGGAAGAAAGUUAUGUCCAGCCAGAAAUAAUAAUGAAAUCGACGUUAAUUCAACAUCAAAAUCAUCAAAUCGUCAUUCAAUCAACGUCGAUUCAAUGUCGAAAUCAUCGAAUCGACGUCGAUUCUAUUGUCAUUUCUGACUGGGAAUGCUUCUUCCCCCAUCUGUAUAAGUAGAUGUCCACCCCGUUUUUGUUUAUCCAGUGAACGAGGGUGGAGUUAAGAUAGAUUUUGGUUACAGAGCUGGAGGCGUAUGCUAAAGCAUCAAGUAACUAUAUGAAUAAGACAUUCAAUAGUAAAAAAUCUCACUUAAAAAAUUAAAUGCGAAUAAGAUAGCUAUCUACACGGAUGUAUCACGAGCAAAUGACGCUUCCAGGGGUCAAAACCUUGGAGACAAUAAAGCGGAUUCAGCAUGAAAGGUUGGCUGCGCAAUUUAUAUUUCCUCUAUUAACCAAGGAUAUACAUAUAAACUGAAUACACAUUCUCGUUCACGGCAGAAAUUACAGCUAUAGAAAAAUCAUUAGCUUAGGAUGGAAAUCUGUUAAUAUAUGUACAGACUCCAAAAACUCUAUGAAAACUCUGGAAUCCUGUAAGAGAGGGUAUGAUUCUCUUAGCCAUUCUGUUAAAAAUCUUUGUAAUUUAUUAAUCGGUUAUAUUUUAAAAGAAAGAAUUAAAAUUAGAUUCAUCUCGUGUUCCGCUCAUUAGGGUCACAAGGUGACAAAAAAGCAGAUAGACUAGCCAAAGAGGGUGCUUUAAGGGUAUGCGGCUGAUUAAUAAAAUUUUAUAUAAAAAAUGUAUCAAAUGCCUUAGAUAUAAUUAUUUAAAAAUAGAUUCUAACACAUUUUAACGAUAUAAGCCCUAACACAGGUAAAUAUUUCAUUAGUAACUUUAGCAAUUUCAGUAUUAAAAAUUUUAAUAAAUACAAAUGUAACAAACGUAUACUAGGAGUGUAUCUAAGAAUUAUCUCAGGUAACGCCUUUAGGAUGCAUCCCGACGAAGGAAGAAAUAGCGGAACGGAACAGUUACGGAAAAGAGAUAUGGUGAGAGAUCAGCCAAUCAGAGCAAUUCCAUUUCUGUUCUGCUCUGCUUUUUGAUGAGUGGAUUCCCCACAAGUGAAUGUUUCACGUAUUGAAACUAAAACGAAAAAAAUAACCUUAUUUUUCUGUAAAAUUCUCAUAAACAACACGUGUGCCAAGUGAGACAAAUUGAAAAAAAAAAAGUUCUUUACGACCUGUCAAUCGUAUCAUCCAGUGUUUUACGUUCAAGAAGCACGUCGUCGUUAUCAAGAGAAAUUUCGAUGUGAUUACUAUGGCUAGAUUAUUUGGCGUGACAAAAAUGAAACAAUAUCUCACAGUUGCUUUGCAAACUAUAAUCGCCUAAUAAUAGAUAACAGUAGAAACCUCUUUAUGGAUGACACAUUUGCAUAAGACAGAAACACUGCCAUUGAAAAAAAUAUUGCUAAUAAAGAAAAUAUUGCCAAAAAUGUUGAAAGCAUUGCCCACGAUUCAAUAGAAAAGGUAGAUGAAGAUUUAAUAGCUACGGUAAAAGAGAGACCAGCUCUGUAUGAUUAUUGAAUACCAAUAAAAGAACAAGGAAGAAAACAAAAAAAUCAUUUGUAGCAAGAAGUCAGCGACUGUUUAAAAGAAGUAUAUCACGUCUGUUUUCUUCAUCUUCCUCAGCUUCAUAUAAUUAUGAUAAAAACUCAAUUUCCAAUUUUGGACGUGAUUGAUAAGACAGCCUACGUAAUCUUGCCAACUGCGAUACAAAUCCGUCAAUAGGAUUUGGCUCAAAAGUUUUUGUCAAAGAAUUAAGAAGAGCUUCUUCGUAGCCGUCUACAUUAACUCUUUUUCUCUCUGCAAAACAAACAAGUAUAAAAAUCAAUCAUGCAUUCGCAAACAUAAAUAUGCAACUUGAAUAAUAAAAUUCUUACUUUUUGAUUGAUUUAUUUUUGAAAGUUGUGUAUUUAAUAUAUAUAUAUUAAUGUGUAAUACAAUAAUAUAAAUAUAUAAAACAUACUUAUAUAAUAUUACUUACCACAUUGACGACAAGCUCCUUAAACAUAAAAAGCUGCUGAUACGAUCGACAGAUCGUAGAGAACUCUUUUUUUUUUUUUAAUUUGUGUCUUACUUGGAACACGCAUUAUCUUCAAGAACUUUACAAAAAAAUAAGGUUAAUUUUUCCGUUUUAGUUCCGUUACGUGAAACAUUCACUAGUGGGGAACCCACUCGUCAAAAAGCGGAACGGAACAGAAACAAAAUUACUCUGAUUGGCUAAUCUAUCAUAUCUACUUUCUGUAACUGUUCAAUUCCGCUAUUUCUUCCUCGGGAUGCACCCUCACUAAUAAAAAAUAAAUAAAAAAAACAAGAUAUCGAUCAUGUAACUUUUUCCCUAGAGCAAAAAAGUGAAAAAUCAA